ensembl:lncRNA
CGUGAGGUAAGAAAGGUUGGGGACCACUGGGCUGAUCCACAGCGUGUGUGUUUACACACCUCCUGGAUCCUGAUUGGUCGCUGCUGCAGCCGCAAGGCACUGAUUGGAUGCUCACAGACCGUAAUACAGCGCGGAUGAAAAGGAUUCAGACUACGGCGUUUAUAUGUUCAACAAUAGGAAACGCAGUCUUAGCUGUUUUUAAAUUACACCAAGUUUAUUUCGGAUUAUUCCAAGAAGAAUACAAGGCGCAGGGAACUUUAAGCGCCACAACAUAGAGGACAGCUUCUACUGGCUUGCUGCUACCCACCUCUGCCACCUGAGCUGUGUAAAGUAUGUGUUGGAGGAAACAUGAGAGAGUGUUAGGAGAGCGGCUCCGACCCCCAACGCAUGUGGCCAGGCAUCCAGGCCAUCAUGACCAUAAGGCAACCAACUCUACCCCCCGAAACAGUGACGCCUCCUUCCCUGACGAGCUGAGCAGCUUUUACGCUCGCGUCGACAGGGACAAUGAGGACGUGGCCUGUACAUCUCCUUGAAUGACAUGUUGCAGUAAAGUACAUUUACACCAUUUAAAGCCCUCAAAGACUCUCACACUAAACUUACCAGGGAGGAGAUGAUCUGCAGGAUCCUGGUGAUCUUCAUCCUGACCUCCUGUGUCUGUGCAGGGUCAUUUGUAGUCAAUGUGACACAGAGCUGGUAUCAUGCAGAGGAGAACCACAACGUCUCACUGGAAUGGAUGUUCCCCACCAGCACGGACCACUCCACCAACUCCCUUUAUGUCUCAUGCGAGAUGUUAGUUGAUAUGAUACCAUUACUCAUGUUUCAUCUACAUAAAGGUGUUGAGUUCCCAGAGUUGCAGGACAAACGCUUUGCAGGACGAGUCCAGUGGGACAAAGACGUCCUCGGAGAAGGACAACUCAGACUUCACAUCUCCAGACUCCAGACUAAUGACUCGGGGCUGUACUGGUGUGAAGUGGACACAAGUUAUGGGAGGAACUUUAAGGAAUGUCACCUCAACGUCACCGGUAGGUUCAUUAAGUUAAAUUUACUAACACGUUCAGCAACUUCAUUCAGAUACAUUUUUUUUUUCUUUACAUGAAUAAAAAAUAUUUCUCUGGUCUCUUUGCAGCAGUGAAGGAUCGGCCUGAGACAACAAGUGAUACGAGUCUGAGAAGAAGUCCUCAGGGAAUGAUCGGCCUCUACUCUGCACUGGGACUGACCGCUGUACUGGGUUUUUAUUUAUUUUAUCUCUGCAUGGCAAAAAAUAUUAGAGAUCAACACAACAAACGAACCACAUCUGUAUCUUGGACAUCUUGGAUCUUGUAAAGUGGACGUUACAAUUUAAUUGUGUUGUUGUGCAACUGGUCAGACCGGCCGUCUGAGGAACUAGCUUUUUCCCAGAGCUGUUACAUUACAUUACAGGUCACCCUUUUGAACUCUUUCCCCCCCCUCUGGUCCCCAUUACACUACUCUAUCUGCACUGAAGACACUUUAUACCAUUUGUUUACUCUCAAUUCAAUAUGCACUUAAUAUUUGCACUAGUUUAGCAACCCCUGAUGGUUUCUGUUUAUAUCUCCACAUUUAAUGUGAAUCUGUCUGUUUUGCCUAAUUUAUUACCAAAUAGUACCAUAGGCCAUAAGACAACCUCUGUAUAGUGUUUAAUGUAUCUAUGAUCUGUAUAUACUGUUAUCUAUUAAAAUACUUUCUGUUGCACUGGUUUGAUGCCAAACUGCAUUUCGCUGCUCGCUACUUGUACAUGUGUAAUGACAAUAAAGUUGAAUCUAAU